AUGAACACCCCAAGGGUGACUGGGGUAUAGAAAUAUGGUCACUUGGUCUUCUCCCGACCGGCAGUAAAACGCUUGCCGAAGUGGGGCGUCCGUUUGGCUGUGUGGGAUGUAUCAAGUUCGCAGUCACGUCCGGUCAGAAAGUGGACGUUAAAUCCGAUGCCUCGUUUAAAGAGAGUGCCACGCUCUUUGCACGUUAAGAACCCUUGCAACAACUCUUUGAGGGGUCCGUAGGUGGCCUGUUGCAAGGCAAAAUUUCUGUUCCUAUCCAAUAUACCCUCAUUCUCCAGUGGCAGUCGAAAUUUUCCCGAACAUCAUCCCAGAUGGCCUCUAUUGUAUCCACCUACCUAUUGUAUUUAUUGUGAACUUGUUCUCGUCCUGAAUAUGCAUGAAAUAUUUGCCACUGGACGUUAAGCAACCAACAAUCAAUCAAUCAAUCAAUCAAUC
rnacentral:lncRNA from 1 species